GUUUUCAACUACAGUUUUUUCUGUACUGUAUUUUGUUUUAUUCACUCUUCUUUUCCACACCUUUCUUUAACUCCAAGCUUUUUCAUACUCACAGUACUUUUUGUAUUAUUAUAUGAUUGAUUUGUAUUAAAAAACUUGUAUAUUAUAGAGAAUCUUUAAUACCCUUUUCGAGGCUUUCGUAUUAAUCAUCAUGUAUUGUGUAGAUAACGUUGAUUGUUAAUAAAACUCUGUACUUUUUUCCUUAUUUUGCUGGAAUACGAAUUAUUUCACUUUCUUUUUCCCUUAAACACGAUUCCUCGAAGUAAUUUUGCUUGAAUCAUUGUAACCCAGAUCAGCAAAAGCUUCGUAGUUUGGUGGGUAGUCGUUUUUUUUCUGAAGUUCUAUAAGCUGGAAUCUUGAUCUCUCUGAAGGAGGAUAUGGGUUCUCGUUCUCGGGAGUCUCGUCCGUGGACUUUAGAUGGUUUAAUAAGAGCUUUUAUUGAUCUUGCUGUGGCUUAUUUUCUGCUAUGUGUAUCGACUUUUGUGUUCUUUGCGGCCAGGUUUUUGAGUAUGGUGGGGUUGGAAUUGCCAUGUCCUUGUGAUGGGUUUUUGGGGUACCAAAAUGGCGAUUAUUGCUGGCACAGUUUGCUUAUCGAUUGGCCUAUUAGAAAGAUCUAUGAUGUUCAGAUGAGUGCGAGGAGUAAGUUCCCUUUUGAUUUGGUUUGGUCUCGACUUAGUGAAAGCAACUCCAACAAGAAGAAGUUGCUUGGAAAUGGGUUUGUUGAAUUGGAAAGCGAAGCAUGCUCUAGUUCAUUUUCGAGUUCUGGAGUUCAAAAUCUGGUUGAUAGAGAAAAUGGGUUUGACUCUAAGGGAAAGAGGCUUGUGAAUUUAAAGCAAAGGCAUGGAUUUCGGAGGCGUAGGAGGGCUACUCUUGGAUAUGGAAAAUUUGCCCCUGUUUUCCCAAAUGAUAUUUUGUCCUCGGUUGCUAGUGUUGUCCCUUCUCCUUGUGAUUGCAGAGAAAUGAAAAAAGAAUAUGGUCCACAAGAUGAUGUAAAUGCACCAAUUGGAAAUUACAAAAGUGAGAGGACUUGCCAUAGUUUUGAAUUGAGUGGAUCAUUUGGUGACAGUAAUGACACUUACGAGCAGCAUCCGAUUUGCUCUGAUAAAUUCAUUAGUGUUACAGAAGAAAAGAGAGACGUUGCUGAAUCUGAAUAUGAUAAAGUCAGGAUGUUGGAGCGAGCUCUAGAAGAAGAGAAAGCUGCUUGUCUUGCUCUUUACCUUGAACUGGAGAAAGAGAGAGCUGCUGCUGCAAGUGCUGCGGACGAAGCAAUGGCAAUGAUAUCCCGGCUUCAGAAAGAUAAGGCAUCAAUGGAAUUCGAAGCCAGACAGUGUCUGAGGAUGAUAGAGGAAAAAUUUGCUUAUGAUGAAGAAGAGAUGGACAUUUUGAAAGAGAUUCUUGUUAAGAGGGAGAGGGAGAAUCAUUUUUUGGAGAAAGAAGUUGAGACAUAUAGGCGUAUGAGCUUUACAGGAGACGAGCAAGCGCAGGGUGAUUUUAGUGAGACAUUGGAAGAAUGGGGACAAAGGCCUUUAUCUUCACAUUAUUCAAAUCCAGAUCCACAACUAAUGCUGCACAUGACAGUCGAUACUAAAUCUGGCUAUAACCAUAUGGAAAAUGAUGCAGAUUUUCUUUCAAGCCACGAGGUUCCAAUUGUUGAGGAGCCAAGCCAUUCUAAUGGACAUGAUUUGAUUGACAAAACAGUACUUUUAGUAGGGAAAGAAAGGGAACAACAAGAAAGUUUAAUAUGCCAAGACGUGACAGCUGAAGCACCCCAGCCUUAUACUGGUGAUGAGAAAACAUUAUAUUGCGACGAAGAAGAGCUACAGAAAAAUGAAAUGCCUAAGAACCAUGUUGAUCACAAUAUGUCUAAUUAGGCGGCUGAAGUUAGCAGUAACAUUGAAAUUUGAGACUUGAGAUUGGAUGGGAUAGAGGAAGGCCAUGGCUAGUGAAAAACAAAAAAAGAAUCCAUUUUCUAAGCAAAAUAGGAAGAUGGGUUGUAAAACAUCUCGAACAGUCUUCAACUUCUAAGGUGAAAAAAAAAAGAAUUGCUGCAAGAAUUAACCUUGGGAAUCCUAUGAAGAAGAUUCUCCUGAAAUCAUGUACAGUAACCUCUAUGUACGGUUGAUGGUUUAGUUAUCUGUAAAUUCAACAUAUGAGACAACAUUAAUUGGCAUUUUUAGUUGGGUGCUUUUAGUUUUGAAGUUUAUAUUGAUAUGUAGUGUAGUAUGUGUAUAUAUUUUUAGUACAAUUCCCUUAUAAAGGUUUCACUUUAAGUCUUA